rnacentral:rRNA from 1 species
AGUGAACGCUGGCGGUAGGCCUAACACAUGCAAGUCGAACGGCAGCACAGUAAGAGCUUGCUCUUACGGGUGGCGAGUGGCGGACGGGUGAGGAAUACAUCGGAAUCUACUUUUUCGUGGGGGAUAACGUAGGGAAACUUACGCUAAUACCGCAUACGAUCUACGGGUGAAAGCAGGUGCUCUUCGGACCUUGCGCGAUUGAAUGAGACGUUGUCGGAGUAGCUAGUUGGCGGGGUAAAGGCCCACCAAGGCGACGGUCCGUAGCUGGCCUGAGAGGAUGAUCGGCCACACUGGAACUGAGACACGAGCCAGACUCCUACGGGAGGCAGCAGUGGGGAAUAUUGGACAAUGGGCGCAAGCCUGAUCCAGCCAUACCGCGUGGGUGAAGAAGGCCUUCGGGUUGUGAAGCCCUUUUCUUGGGAAAGAAAAGCAGCAGGUUAAUACCCCGCUGUUCUGACGGUACCCAAAGAAUAAGCACCGGCUAACUUCGUG